rnacentral:tRNA from 1 species
AUAUAGCUCAGUUGGUAGAGUGCUUGCCUCGCAUGCACAAGGUCCUGGGUUCAAUCCCCAGCAU